rnacentral:lncRNA from 1 species
ACUUUACUUAAUUCAUAAUUAUCUUAAAUUAAGUAAUUAUUAAACCUAUUUACCUUAAUUAAUUCUUAAUUAAUUACUAAUGACAGCAAUUAAGCAUUAAGGCUAAACAAUAAUUAAAUGCCAAAGGUCAUUAGGGUUAAUGACCUCAGGUCAUCACAUAAUCCAAAAUCACUCAACCCUAAUUAUGAGGACCUAAAUAACCACUAUUUAAUUAUUUUGGAAUUAUUACUUAAGUGUUAAAUAAGGGUUUAUUAAUAUUUUAAACAAACAUUAUCCAAAUGCCACCAAAUUUUGUGGGGAGCCAGGGAACAAUAUUCAGAGGCAUCUCACAAUUUUUGGUGAUUUUUGGACAUACUAACAAAUUAUUAAAAAUCAUACAAGUUUUAUUUGCUAAUUAAAAGGGCCAAUUUUUACAGAUAGGCAAACUACCAGAAAAAUAAUACUUAGUAUUUAUCUUAUGCUACAAACAUUUUAUGGAAGCUAUACAAAAAUUCUCACGAUUUUUGGAUCAAUACAGAAUUUAUUAUUUGAGUUCAAAUAUCAAACACUUUUAAACAAAAAGGAAAAAGAAAAAGAAAAAAAAACUAGCCACGCGGCCGGCCCGCUUGGCCUCGGCCCACGCUGGCUCGAGCGCUCGCUCCGAGCGGAUGGCGCGCGCGGCCCCCUCCCCUUACGCGGACACUGACGGGCGGGUCCCGCCCGUCAGUUCCGUCUUCUUCCUCGCGCCGCACUGCUCCGGCGAUCGCCCAGCGUCGCUGAGCCCUCCCCUGCGCUAACCAGUUGCCCCAUUAGGUUCGCCGCGACCCCC